rfam:Pristionchus pacificus strain PS312 contig2050, whole genome shotgun sequence.
UCUUCAUUUCGCGCACUCUCUCACAGGUCAAAGAGACGAGAGAGUGCGGGGAAUGAAGAGA